rnacentral:rRNA from 1 species
UACAGAGGUCCCGAGCGUUGUUCGGAUUCACUGGGCGUAAAGGGUGCGUAGGCGGUCGGGUAAGUCUGAUGUGAAAUCUCACAGCUUAACUGUGAAACUGCAUUGGAUACUAUUCGGCUUGAGAGUUGGAGGGGGGACUGGAAUUCUUGGUGUAGCAGUGAAAUGCGUAGAGUAUCAAGAGGAACACCAGUGGCGAAGGCGAGUCCCUGGACAACUUCUGACGCUGAGGCACGAAAGCUAGGGGAGCAAACAGG